rnacentral:rRNA from 1 species
AUGGGCAUGGGCCUUGAGAUCUCGAGCUCCUUCCCUUCCUCUUCCAACGAGAACGCGUUGGUGGCCAAGCGCCCGGCGGGGCGCACCAAGUUCCGCGAGACGCGGCACCCGGUGUACCGCGGCGUGCGGCGCCGGGGCAACGCCCAACGGUGGGUCUGCGAGGUGCGCGUCCCUGGCAAGCGCGGCGCUCGGCUCUGGCUCGGGACGUACGCCACAGCCGAGAUCGCAGCGCGCGCCAACGACGCCGCCAUGCUCGCCCUGGGCGGCCGCUCCGCCGCGCGUCUCAACUUCCCGGACUCCGCGUGGCUGCUCGCCGUGCCGUCCGCGCACUCCGAUCUCGCCGACGUCCGGCGCGCGGCGGUCGAGGCCGUCGCGGAUUUGCAGCGACGGGAGGCUGCCGGUGGGUCCAUCACCGCCACCGCCACCGCCGAGGAGACCUCCUGUGGCGCUCCUGCGGAAUCCUCGUCUGAGUCUGACGAUGCCGGUUCGUCAGAGACGUCGAAACCUUCUGGCAAUGGAGACUUCGCGCUGCCGGGCGGAAUGGACGUCGAAAUGUUCAGUCGGCUUGACUUGUUCCCGGAAAUGGACUUCGGCUCGUACUACGCGAGCCUCGCGGAGGCGCUGCUGAUGGACCCGCCGCCGGUGGCGACCGGCACCGGGGCGUACUGGGAUAACGGAGAGUGCGGCGAGGGGGCAACUGAUUUCGCCCUCUGGAGCUAUUAG